UUCUUGUCUCUCAGAUCUCACUCUGAUGAAACUCAGCAGACCUCCACUCCAAUUCAGAGAGGCUCCCUGACCAUGCCCAGCCCCCAGAGAGCGUCCUGCGAAUCUUUUUGCAGGCCUUCCUGCGAGGGGUGCUGGCUGAGGAUGAGGAGACUUGAGACAAAGAUCAAAGACACAGUUGAAAAAAAAAAUCCUAUUUUGAGCUUUGAGCUUGUCGGACCCUCACUCUUCCCUGGGAAGGGCGCCUGUAGUUCCAAACUGGCCCACCACCACCUAGUGGCAGUUCCUGGGAUUGCAGGUAAAGAGCUUUGGACAUAAAUACUUGCUCCUGGAAGAUAAAAGUAUGAGUCAACUAAAAGAGCUUACUUCUCAAGACUAAAAGUUUGUUGGUCAAGACUGGCUUCAAGACCUCACUUCACUGUUCCCACCAAUCCAAAGCUAUUGUGCCUCAAACUCUGCUCAGUGCCAACCAGUGACUCAGGCUCCAAGACCUGCCUUAACAUCACCAAGGCCAGGCCCUAAAGACCCAGAACAUCUGACCCUGACA